rnacentral:misc_RNA from 1 species
GAUGAAGAACGUAGCGAAAUGCGAUAAGUAAUGUGAAUUGCAGAAUUCAGUGAAUCAUCGAAUCUUUGAACGCACAUUGCGCCCGCCAGUAUUCUGGCGGGCAUGCCUGUCUGAGCGUCAUUUCAACCCUCAUGCCCCUAGGGCGUGGUGUUGGGGAUCGGCCAAAGCCCGCGAGGGACGGCCGGCCCCUAAAUCUAGUGGCGGACCCGUCGUGGCCUCCUCUGCGAAGUAGUGAUAUUCCGCAUCGGAGAGCGAUGAGCCCCUGCCGUUAAACCCCCAACUUUCCAAGGUUGACCUCAGAUCAGGUAGGAAUACCCGCUGAACUUUAGCAUAUCAAUAAGCGGAGGA